rnacentral:rRNA from 1 species
AACGAACGCUGGCGGUAGGCCUAACACAUGCAAGUCGAGCGGCACCCCAGUAAGAGCUCGCUCUUAUGGGUAGCGCGUGGCAGCCUGGCUUGUAAUUCAUCACAAUUUACUUUAUCGUGGGGGAAUACCUAGGGAACCUUACGCUAAUACCACUUACCACCUACAGGUCACACCAGGGGCUAUUCGGACCUUGGUCGAUUGAAUGCUCCCAGGUCGGAUUAGCUAGCUGGCGGGGUAAAGGCCCACCAAGGCCACGGUCCCUAGGUGGGCUGCGAGGAUGAUCAGCCACAUUGGAACUGAGACACGGUCCAGACACCUACGGGAGGCAGCAGUGGGGAAUAUUGGAGAAAGGGCGCAAGCCGAAUCCAGCCAUACCGCGUGAGUGAAGAAGGCCUUAGGGUUGGAGAGCCAUUUUGUUGGGAAAGAAAAGCAGCAGGUUAAUACGCCACGGUUCUGACGGUACCCAAAGAAUAAGCACCGGCUAACUUCGUG